UGGGGAACAUUGCGCAAUGGGCGAAAGCCUGACGCAGCAACGCCGCGUGAGUGAUGAAGGCCUUCGGGUCGUAAAGCUCUGUCGGAGGGAACGAAUGCUCCUGAAGUUAACAGCCUCAGGAGGUGACGGUACCCUCAAAGGAAGCACCGGCUAACUCUGUGCCAGCAGCCGCGGUAAUACAGAGGGUGCAAGCGUUGUUCGGAAUCAUUGGGCGUAAAGGGCGCGUAGGCGGCAAUUCAAGUCAUCUGUGAAAUCUCCGGGCUUAACUCGGAACGGUCAGAUGAUACUGCUUUGCUAGAGUGCAGAAGGGGCAAUCGGAAUUCUUGGUGUAGCGGUGAAAUGCGUAGAUAUCAAGAGGAACACCUGAGGUGAAGACGGGUUGCUGGGCUGACACUGACGCUGAGGCGCGAAAGCCAGGGGAGCAAACGGGAUUAGAUACCCGUGUAGUCCCUGAGCGGGCUGGCAAGGCGCAU
rnacentral:rRNA from 1 species